CAGCAGCCACGGUAAUACGGAGGGGGCUAGCGUUGUUCGGAAUUACUGGGCGUAAAGCGCACGUAGGCGGCUUGGUAAGUUAGAGGUGAAAGCCUGGAGCUCAACUCCAGAAUUGCCUUUAAGACUGCCGAGCUAGCAGGUGAGAGAGGUAAGUGGAAUUCCGAGUGUAGAGGUGAAAUUCGUAGAUAUUCGGAAGAACACCAGUGGCGAAGGCGGCUUACUGGCUCAUACUGGACGCUGAGGUGCGAAAGCGUGGGGAGCAAACAGGAUUAGAGACCCCGGUAGUCCCUGUCUCUUAUAC
rnacentral:rRNA from 1 species